CACAACAGAAAUUUGUGUCCAAAUUUACAAUUCACAUAGAUUUUUAAUAGCGAACCCUCUGUACGCUUUAUAAGAGAAACAAUUUUAGAUGUACAGUGCAAGUUUUUCUGGCAUGGGAUUUUGUAGCAUAACAAAUCUAGACAAGAUUCAAAUACUACAAAUUUUCGGUCAGUUAAACACUGAAAUUCAAUAUUUGAUUCCUUAGUGGUCAAAUCUAAAUCAGUGGAUGUAUCCAUAGUGCAAAAAC